rnacentral:lncRNA from 1 species
CCCUGACACUUCCUCCACCUUUGUGCCUCCUUCCACCAUGAGGUGAGCAGCUUUCUUCUUCUGUGGCUUCCCAUGUCCUGCCUCAUGGUGCUCCAGCCUGUAAGUCACAGUGCUAAGAAGUGACAGAAGUGACCACAGACCAACACCUCUAAAGCAGAAGGCCAAGAUGAUGACAGCUUUGCAGCUAUUAAACCCAGAACCAUCUCCUGCGGUUGCCUUAUUCUUUCAGCUGUAUGUGUGUUGCUUGGAUCCUCUGGAACUGGAGUUACAGACAGUUGUGAGCUGCCAUGUUGGUGCUGAGACUUGAACCCUAGUCCUUUGGAAGAGCAGCCCGUGCUCUUAAUUGUUGAACCACCACUCUAGCUCUCAGGAAGAUUGCUUUUUACUGUAUCUGAAAUAUUUC